CUGAAAUCUAUGAACGCGUCGAGACGCCUACCGUU
rnacentral:sRNA from 1 species